CUAGGUGCUGGGAAUUUAUUAGAUCACAUACGGUUUGCACGCUGCAAGCCAGAAUGACGCUUCUUGCAUAUUUCUGAUAAGCAGGGUGGAAUAAAUACCUCUAUAGCUCACAGAUGUUAUUAUCAUCAUGUGUGAUAUAUUGUAAUGGGGACCCCAGCAUUGCAGACUUUUCAAGUAGCGAACCUACUCAACAGAGGGCCCUGGUGCAAGAUUUUUUUGGGGCCCCCAAAGUGCACUGUUUCGAUAAGAUGCUUUCCCCCAGGUGGAUAGUUCCGAUGGAGCCCUGUGUCAUCCUGUCUCCGUUUUACCGGACAAUGGGAUUAGAGAUUCAAACCCUCCUAUGGGUAAUACUGGUCAGCAUCCACCUGCUCUCCUUGUGAAAAGAAACUCACUGACUUCUUGUCAACAGCCGCAAUACUUCUCCUAGUUUCUGUGGCUGGCAAGGUAACCGGAGCUCGUUGGAAUCGUUCCGUUCUUCCGGAUUUACCCGUUUUUUUGCUGUUUAGUUUCUGGGUGAUGGCAGCGUGUAGCUGAGGGUUUGCUUUCAGGUUUCUACGCAUUUCGACUGUCAGCCUUUUUCAAGGUACCUGAAGUGGUUGAUUCUGUGCCUUUUAAAGCCUAAUUUCUACUGCUUCUUCACGAUAUAUUAUUCAUAGUUAUUUUGGUCCUAAAAUUUACCUUGAAAAAUAUUUAAAUGAUUAUUCUGUGUUCUACUUGUAUAAUUAUAGAGGGGGUGUUUCACCUAUCUAAAGUAAUGUUACAUUCAACAACUUUUGGGGUACUCAAUAAUAAGUUGAAACAUGUUUUUUGGGGAUUCAACAAGUCCUUUAGCUAUAGAAUUUAAUAAGUUAGAGACGACCCUGUAUAUAUGUAAUUUAGUAUCAAGAAUUUGGAUUAUAAUUUGGAAAACAGGGGGGGAAAGUGCUUCAAAUAAACCGUAGAAAUGGCUGACUGGGAUUAACUCCAUAGUUAUAUAAAAGUGCUACAGAAUGUUGCAGUGCUAUAUAAAUAUAUUAUAAAAAUAAUAAAAAGUAAUUGUGCUAUAAUAAAAUGCUCUAACACA